ACAUGGCCAUCCAUGACAUGGCCAAGGUGGCCACUAAGUGGGGAUUCAUUGUCUUGUUUAGUCGCUCUUGGACAUCCAUACAUGGGACCUACUUCUGUCAAGGGCCGGACAGGAGAGGCGCCUUCAUUUCCCCCGUUUCAUAUCCUGUCCUGUCUAGAGUGUGGCCGAAAAGGAGUCAACGAAAGUAGGGGAAGUGGAACUAGAAAUGAAACAAACUAUUAUUUUUUGUUAAAAAUGGAAAAAUGGGAAGUGCAAUCAUUUUUUGUGAAAUGCUAUAUAAUUUUGGAGUGUAAUAAAUGUAUGAGGAUGAA